rnacentral:tRNA from 1 species
UCCCCGGUGGUUCAGUGGUUAAGAACCCUGCCAAGGCAGGGGACACAGGUUCGAUCCCUGGUGGGGGAA